rfam:Pseudoruegeria aquimaris strain CECT 7680 genome assembly, contig: 0039
CGAUCGGGAGGGCCCGGUGGGACGGAGCCCAGGCAUAGAUCGAACCCCCUUGUUUCGUGUGCGGCGCGGUGCUGUGGCCCCGGCAGACUCGUGC